CCAAUCGUUAAUUUCGAGCAACACUUUCCAUUGCCCCGGGCAAGAUCAAAAACUAUCUUCACCAGAGCGAGCCUCCCAAGCUGAUGUAGGCUGAUGGGGCUUUUCAAAGGUCAAGUCGAUGUAAAUUUUUUAUUGUUAUAUUUUUCAUUUCGAAGAGGGGGAAUCACGAGAAAGCUAAAAUAAUUGGGUACGUUGUUCAGUUUGGGAAAUGUUUUUUUUUUUUAUGUAUUUAUUUUUAUUUUUAUAUACAAUACGGGCCAUUCCAAGCGAGAACGAUCGGUCGAGUUUUAGAUAUUUUUUCAAUUUCGCACACAGAUAGUUUUUGGGGGGUUAGAUUUUUGUACCAAAGGAUUAACCCAUUGUUGCAAAAUCGACCGGAAUAUGCUUGUUUCAAAUUUUUCGGUGCUAUCGACGUGGGUUGAAAGAAAUAAAUAAAAUUUUUUUUUGAAUAAACAAUCAAAGAUGACAUUUUUUUACAACUUUCUAUUUUUAUUUGAAAAGCUUAGAACCUUCCGCGUAAAAUGAGAGUUUUUUGAACCUGAUAGCGUUAUUAUUAUUAGCAGAGUUAUCGAUUUUUUAACUGAACCUUGCUCAAAUUUUCCAUUGCAGAUAUCUCGGUCAAUUUUUCAACAAUGGGUUCAUCCUUUAGUACAAAAAUUUAACUCCUCAAGGACUAUCUAUGUGAAAAAUUGAAAAAAAUAUCUGAAACUCGACUGAUCGUUUUCGCGUGCAAUGGCCCGUAUACAAACGUCGAUCUGGUCGGUCAUAAUAACUCCCAGGGAUGAGAAUGAAUGUAGGGCCAAAAAAAAAAAAAAAGAAAGAAAAUAAUUGUCGAGAGAAAUUCACGACAGUCGAUACAGGAUCGAAUUCCUCGAAGUUACUCACCGUCACCGGGUGGCACAAAGUUUCGAUAAGCCAAACCGCAGAUAAGUUGAGCGGCGGUUUGAUUCCCGACAAAGUUUACGUUCCCUCCUGUGUCGCUGGCAUUCAUCUUGUUCGGGUGAUAUAAAAACAUCCUAUUGAAGUUAUGAGAAUUGUACCGCAUUCUCGUUGGUGAACAGUUUUCACCAACCAAUCAAAGUUAAUCAAAAUGUACGACGGCCAUUGGGUGAAAAUUUGGUUGUAAUACCAUAGUGAUAAACGAAGAACAGAAUGAAAAAAUCAUAGUUUGUUAGAAAUAAAUUCAUUCUACAACAAAUUGCGAAGAAGCAAGUUCGUGUAACCUGCACGCAUCACUAUGAGCUGAAAAAAUGGAAAAUAUCAAACAGACGCUAACGAUCGGUGGUAAUACAAUUUUGAACAAUCUAUAAGCAUAAGAAUAUCGUAAGAAUGCAAAUCUUGACGGAUAAAAAUUUAUAUGAAUCCGCAUCAUUAUGAACGUUACCUGGUCUGAUAGUGGAAAUUUCAAAAUAAAACAAAUUUAGAAAAUAAAAUUACAGACGACGGAUGGGAUUUCAUGCUAUGCGAGCGGGCGGAACUCGUGGUAAAGAGAGAGGAAGAGAAAGAAACGGAGGUGAGAGUGAAGGUCAAGAAAGAAAUAGAGGAAAAAGGAAAGGAAAAGAAUAAGAAUAGAAGAAAGAAUCAAAUAUAUAAGAAAUGAAGGAAAAAGGAGAGCAGAAAAAUAUAAAAAGAAGAAAGAAUAAGAAAUUGAAAAAAAAAUGUUCAGUUAUAAAUUAUCAAAAAAGAUAAAUAAAUAAAAAAAAUUAGAAUGUAGUAAAAAUAAUUAGGAUUAAAUUUAUAACGGUUAUGUGCUGCAUUAUUCACAAUUUUAUAAAUAACAUCUGAAAGAUCAGUUAUAUUCAAAUUUGCCUUUUGAUUGAUCGAUCUGAACUAUGCGAACAUCAAAUGUUGAAUGGAAUAGAAUUCAUUAGGACAAAGCGAGCGCGAAGCCCCUGGUAAAAGCAAAAAACAAAAAUGGCAAAUUUUAAAGGAAAAUUAAUAUGCGGGAU